UUGCUGGGAAUUGAAUUCAGGACCUCC
rnacentral:piRNA from 1 species